GGACUACAGGGGUAUCUAAUCCUGUUUGCUCCCCACGCUUUCGCACCUCAGCGUCAGAACCGGACCAGUGAGCCGCCUUCGCCACUGGUGUUCUUCCUAAUAUCUACGAAUUUCACCUCUACACUAGGAAUUCCACUCACCUCUUCCGGUCUCGAGACUAACAGUAUCAGAGGCAGUUCCGAGGUUGAGCCCCGGGAUUUCACCCCUGACUUAAUAGUCCGCCUACGUGCGCUUUACGCCCAGUGAUUCCGAACAACGCUAGCCCCCUUCGUAUUACCGCGGCUGCUGGCAC
rnacentral:rRNA from 1 species